AGAAUCAACGCUGGCGGCGUGCCUAACACAUGCAAGUCGAACGAGAAAGUGGAGCAAUCCACGAGUAAAGUGGCGCACGGGUGAGUAACACGUGACUAACCUACCCUUGAGUGGGGGAUAACCUAGGGAAACCUGGGCUAAUACCGCAUAAUACCUUCGGGUCAAAGGAGCAAUUCGCUUAAGGAGGGGGUCGCGGCCGAUUAGUUAGUUGGCGGGGUAAUGGCCCACCAAGACUAUGAUCGGUAUCCGGCCUGAGAGGGCGCACGGACACACUGGAACUGAAACACGGUCCAGACUCCUACGGGAGGCAGCAGUGGGGAAUUUUGCGCAAUGGGGGAAACCCUGACGCAGCAACGCCGCGUGGAGGAUGAAGUCCCUUGGGACGUAAACUCCUUUCGAUCGGGACGAUAAUGACGGUACCGAGAGAAGAAGCCCCUGCUAACUUCGUGCCAGCAGCCGC
rnacentral:rRNA from 1 species